GCCACACCUGUUCCCAUGCCGAACACAGAAGUUAAGCUCUUUAGCGCCGAUGGUAGUCGGACUUACGUUCCGCGAGAGUAGGACGUUGCCAAGC
rnacentral:rRNA from 1 species